rnacentral:rRNA from 1 species
UUUUUCCCGCGUGUGUGUGAGGACUGCCGAAAGGGCUACCUGCUAUUUGGAGAAGCGAUCAAUAGCCAUGCGAGUCAGGGGACUUCGGUCACCGGCGGAAUGCUCAGUAACACGUGGACAAUCUGCCCUCGGGUGGGGAAUAAACUCGCGAAAGUGAGGCUAAUACCCCAUAGGCACAGGAGGCUGGAAUGCAUCUGUGCCCAAAGCUCCGGCGCCCGAGGAUGAGUCUGCGGCCUAUCAGGUAGUAGUCAGGGUCAAGACCUGACUAGCCAGCGACGGGUACGGGCCUUGAGAGAGGUCGCCCGGAGAUGGACUCUGAGACACGAGUCCAGGCCCUACGGGGCGCAGCAGGCGCGAAAACUUCGCAAUGCAGGAAACUGUGACGAGGGAACUCCAAGUGUCCAUGCAUUGCAUGGACUGUUUGCCAGCCUAAAAAGCUGGUAGAGUAAGGGGUGGGAAAGACCGGUGCCAGCCGCCGCGGUAACACCGGCACCUCAAGUGGUAGCCACUAUUAUUGGGCCUAAAGCGUUCGUAGCCGGCUUGGUUAAUUCCUGGGUAAAUCGUACCGCUCAACGGUGCGGAUUCCGGGGACACUACCAGGCUUGAGACCGGGGGAGAUCAGAGGUACUUGUGGGGGAGCGGUGAAAUGUUGUAAUCCCGCAGGGACCACCAAUGGCGAAGGCAUCUGAUCAAAACGGCUCUGACGGUGAGGGACGAAACCCUGGGGCGCAAACGGGAUUAGAUACCCCGGUAGUCCAGGGCGUAAACGCUGCUGACUUGGUGUUGGGGGCCCUGCGAGGGCGUCCAGUGCCGGCACGAAGGUAUUGAGUCAGCCGCCUGGGGAGUACGGUCGCAAGACUGAAACUAAAGGAAUGGCGGGAGCACUGCAACGAGUCGGAGCGUGCGGGUUUAAUUGGAUCAACACACGCGCCCGGGAAA